rnacentral:lncRNA from 1 species
CACCACUUGAAGAUAAGCCCGUUCCUCUCUCUGGUAUAUUCUUUGCUUAAUAAAUCUUGUGGGGUGGUUAUUUGUGUGUCUCAUCCAAUUCUUUGUUCAUAACACCAAGAACCUGGAACUCCCAACUUCCAAUCUGGUAACAUAUUUUGGUGAGCCAGCCAGGAGGGUCAAGCCUGCAAUACCUAAAGCUCCAGACCUGGAACCCAAAGCUCCCAUCAGUCGCUACCCUGUGAACCUGUGGAGGAUCUGAAGUACCUGUUUAAAAGGCAUCCAAAAGAUAGAAUCUAUCAAGCUACAAAUGGCUAUGUUGCCUGAAGCCCCAGACAUCAUCCUACAAGAAAUAAGUCCAGACUUCUUAAUUUCCCCCUGGAUAGAGCAGGGUGAUACUGUGGCCUGGGUGAAGACAUCGUAUCCUCUGUGUGUAACAGUGAUAAGAAGGCUUACCUCGCAGGGUUAUUACAAGACAAAUGAAAUAACUUUGGCACACUAUUAAAGGCUUCGU